rnacentral:misc_RNA from 1 species
AAGUUAACAACGAUUUUCUCAAAUUAAUAUUUACACUAUAAGUAUUCAUUUACUUACUUAAUUGUUUCAAUUGUUUUAAAUGAAAAAAAGCUAUAACGCUAAAUAGUAUAAAGAAAAUAAUUCAGACGAUAUUCAUUGGAGUUUUCGGAUAUAUAUUUAAUACACUACUAUUAAGCAAUUCAAAGGAAAAAACUUAAAAAAAAAACGAAAGAAAAGUUGUGAAGAUAUUCGAGUUCAUUGUAACAACUGAACAGGAAAAGAUGUGGUUCUUUUACUUUACAGCUUUUCUUCUGCUUAUCUCGGCGAGAAAGACUGUUACUCAUGAAUGUUACACAUGUGAUAAUAUCGACGAUCCUGAUAAUUGUCACAACAUAACGGAAGGCGGUAACGGACAGUCAUGUUUUGCCUACGUUAAUAUAUCUGGGAUAAUCAAGACAUUCACAUUAGGAAUUACAGAUAAUAAGAACUGCGGGGCUAUUCCAAACUACACAAGCGCAAAUAGUCAAGAGAGAUGUCUACAGGAAAUGUUUUGAGUGCUGUGGUAAAGAUAAAUGCAACAAUCGACUUUGCCAGCAUUUGAAACCCUCAAAAUGUAUAGAUGACGUGAAUGUAGACUGUGCGCACAUUAACGAAAUGUUUAACAUUUGCACAAAUGUAGAUGAGGCAAAGAAUAUUUGUCCAAAAUUUUGUCAUUUGUGCUCUUUGGUUGAUGGGAACUGGGCUGAGUGGUCUAGGUGGUCGUCAUGUGAUGUGACAUGUGACAGCGGCAUACAGACCAGGAAAAGAACGUGCACCAACCCUGCUCCAGCAUAUCAUGGAAUGCAGUGUAUAGGAAAUGAUACCGAUACCAAAUCUUGUGACAACCAGUUGUGCCCAGUAAAUGGCGGUUGGUCCGAAUGGUCUGACUGGGGAACAUGUUCUGUGACCUGUGACUUUGGUCUCAGGAGAAGAAAUCGGUCCUGUUCCAAUCCGCAUCCAUCAAGGUCGGGUGACCAUUGCUUCGGGGACUCCACAGAUGUUGACAUAUGCACAACAAGGCCAUGUUUUACUGUCGCACCAUUCUACGCAUUCAAAUCUCAUACGGUUUCUGACAAAAGUCUGGCGGACGGCAAGGUGUUGGUUUUCACCAGGAACACUCUCAAUAUAGGCGAUGUGUACGAUAACAGCACGGGCAUUUUUGUGGCUCCUGUCAAAGGUGUUUACCAUUUUACUGCCCAGAUCUGCAUGCUUAGCGGUCGAAGGUCGCAUUUUGGUUUUUCAGUAGAAGGAAGAAUGGAAUCGAGUAUUUUUGCCGGAGAUUCUGAGUAUUACCAGUGUAACAGCAUUAGACACCGUGACAACUGUAAAUGCAGGGGAACAGGUUUCUGUACAGUGUGUUGCAGGCUGUAGCGGAGACUGUACUGUGGGAAUAUCUUGAUUAGUGCCACAAGCAGUUUCUCUGGCAUGCUAUUGCAUAUGUAUUCAAGCUAGACUACAUUUGCUCUUAAAAUUGAAUGAAACCCCAAUAGGAACAUUGUUUUCAGUACUUACGCAUAUAUAUGUAUGUUCCUGGAGUUAUAUCUGUAUAAUAUGUCAAACAUUAAACUAAUACAAUGAA